rnacentral:lncRNA from 1 species
AAGUUCCACUCUGACGACACCAUCUCCAAGAAAGGCUUCCACCUGCGGUACACAAGCACCAAGUUCCAGGACACACUCCACAGCAGGAAGUGACCUCUGCCCCUGCUUGGUAGCGGGAACUGGAGUCCUGCUUCCCUCAAUCACCCAGACUGGACAGCAGGGGUGACAGGCAGAUGGUGACACAUUGUCCCUCACCCCCAGGCACCAGGGCCAGUGGGCCAGGUGUCAACAGGAGGCAAGGGACUUGGACUCCCUGUAAGCCAGUUCCCCAUGCCCUCCUGUCAGUGGGGCCGGGGAACCGGAGCUUUCACUGAGACACUUGAAGUGACCAUUCCUCCUUGGGGCCCUGCCUGGGGUAAGACAGUCUCUGUGCAGGACCCUGCGGGCUUCUCUGCCGUCUUUACACACUGUAUUGUGUAUAGCCGGUGUCCCUAAUCUUUAUUGUAACGUACAUUUCCUGCCCCUUCUCCAGCCUUGAUUUGGUUUUAUAUUGACCCACCACUUCUAUGCUUCCUGGGUAUCCCCUGGGAGCCGUGACGGGGAGCUAGAGAAGAGAGAGUGGAUGAAUAAGACAGGGCUUCUCUUAGGCCCACUGGCUCAUCAGCCACACCAGGGCACCCCAGCCAAUAAACAGAAAGUGUUACAGCCAAUAUCCUGUGCCAGAUGCUGUCUAUGAUGCGGGGGCAUGGUGGUUUCUUCCAGAUGUUCUAGCUUUCUGGGUGUCUGAAGCCAGUAUGGAGCCAAAACACCUGGUUUUGCUGGCUGCCCUUCCCUCUCAACAUUCCAGAACUCCUAAGGGUGUGAUUUCGCACUGGGGUGGACACACACACACACACACACACACACACACACACACACGCUGCUUAUAGUUCUCCCACACAACAGGAGUAGAACAUUCUAUAAAGAGGCUGUCUGGAGGAGGGAGGAGGCAUAUAAAAGAGGCUUAGGGU